GGAGACCUACGGGGGGCAGCAGUGAGGAAUAUUGGUCAAUGGUCGGGAGACUGAACCAGCCAAGCCGCGUGAGGGAGGAAGGUACAGAGUAUCGUAAACCUCUUUUGUCAGGGAACAAAGGCGGGGACGUGUCCCCGGAUGAGUGUACCUGAAGAAAAAGCAUCGGCUAACUCCGUGCCAGCAGCCGCGGUAAUACGGAGGAUGCGAGCGUUAUCCGGAUUUAUUGGGUUUAAAGGGUGCGCAGGCGGUCUGUUAAGUCAGCGGUUAAAACCCGGGGCGCAACCCCGGC
rnacentral:rRNA from 1 species